rnacentral:rRNA from 1 species
CGGGAGGCAGCAGUGGGGAAUAUUGCACAAUGGGGGAAACCCUGAUGCAGCGACGCCGCGUGAGCGAAGAAGGUUUUCGGAUCGUAAAGCUCUGUCCUUGGAGAAGAUGAUGACGGUAUCCAAGGAGGAAGCCCCGGCUAACUACGUGCCAGCAGCCGCGGUAAA